ACGAACGCUGGCGGCGUGCCUAACACCUGCAAGUUGAGCGACGAACCAGGGCUUGCCCUGGGGCAAAGCAGCGAACGGGUGAGUAACACGUGGGUAACCUACCCCGAUAACCGGGACAACCCGAGGAAACUCGGGCUAAUACCGGAUGUGCUCACUGGACUUCGGUUCAGUGCGUAAAGGAAGCUUCGGCCUCCGUAUCGGGAGGGGCCCGCGGCCCAUUAGUUUGUUGGUGAGGUAACGGCUCACCAAGACCGCGAUGGGUAGCUGGUCUGAGAGGACGAUCAGCCACACUGGGACUGAGACACGGCCCAGACUCCUACGGGAGGCAGCAGUGGGGAAUCUUGCGCAAUGCGCGAAAGCGUGACGCAGCAACGCCGCGUGGGGGAAGAAGGCCUUCGGGUUGUAAACCCCUUUCAGGAGGGACGAAGGUUCGGCGGUGAAUAGCCGUCCGGACUGACGGUACCUCCACAAGAAGCCCCGGCUAACUACGUG
rnacentral:rRNA from 1 species